CCGCGGCGGCGGCGGCGGCGGGAGCCCCGGCGGCGGCGGCCGCCUCCUCGUCGUCGUCGCCCGGCGAUGGCGGCCCUAUCUUGCUGCAGUCAUAAACCAGGCAGUACCUCAACUAAGCCCCCAAAGAGUCAGCCAUGCCCAGUCUCACCGAGAACUGUGGGGAGCAGUAAGUAAAGAAUGAGGUGGCAGGGAGAUCGGAUAAAGUUUCGAGAAUACUGAAGACAUUUUUUUACCUGCUUUGAAGGAAUAGAAUUUCUCUAACUUCUAAGAUUGCUACAAUGCUACAUGGUCUCUUCACUCUUAUUUCAACCUAGGAACUAAAGAAGUACAGUUCUACACACACGUAUAUCUCUGUCGAUUUUGUGUUGUGCAAUAAUAUUCCUGAAGCGGAUGCUUUGUAAAGAGAGGUAUACGUAGCUCACAGUUUGGGAGACUGAAGGCCAGCACUGGGCAUCCUCCUCUUUUCCUCCAGGGACUCUACCCUGCUGCACCACAGCCUGGCAGACCAGCAGGAAUCAGCUGCUGCCCAAGGGACACGUAGGAAGACAAGAAGCCGGAUUCAGGUCCAGCCUCUACUUUGUGUGAUAGUUGCCAUUAAGGAAAACUAAAUGGGUCCCUGAAUAACUGAUUCAUCUCACCCAAGGGUGAUGCUCCGACCUAAUCCUCUCCCUCUGGACCCUGCCCCUUAAAAGUUCCCGUCAUCAUCGCCAUACUGGAAAUCAUGCAUCUCGCAUGUGACUGUGGAACACUCAAGCUACAUCCAAACCAAACACAUACACACGUCAGAAGUGGUAACACACACCAAAUAUGGAUACAAGUGUGUAUAGUAACACUACAGUAUCUUGCCAGAGAAUGAUAAAUGCUAAAUUUAAAAUGGCCAUGAUGGGCCCUGCAUGGUGGCCCAUGCCUAUGAUUCCAGCACUCAGGAGACUGAAGCAAGAUCACUGUGAGUCCAAAGUCAUCUGGGCUCCAUAGUGAGUUCAAGGCCAGCCUGAAUUAUACAGUGAGACCUUGUUUUAGUCAGGAUUCACAAAGGAAAAGAUUUAAUACAGGACAUACAAUUUAUAGGAUUAUUUAAAAAUAUUCACCCAAAGGAUCAAAUGCAAGAGUAUAGAAGACCUGUCCGUACACUAGAGACCCAAAGAAUCCAGCUGAGGGCCUGGAUCCCAUGGCAAUGUCCUGCACAAGUCCAGCUAGAGGCCUAGAGCCAUGACAAUGUCUCAUGCAAGUCUGCAUCAAGGAUCUGCACUGGGAAGGCCCAAAAGUCAGUAGUGGACGAUAGAAAGUGCACCAGUAGGAUGAAGGAUCUUUGCCCACAGACAGGGAUCUGCACUGGAGCCAGGCAGCAAUGCUCAAGGCAGCCCAUGACCUGCUGGCAAGUUUUUCUGCAUAAUCUCAAAGGACACCCUGAGAUGACCAAAAGAAACUUGUUCACUUCCUUGGAACUACAAAAUCUGCAAGCAGCUCACUAAGUCACCCAGACUGGCCUCGACUUUGUGAUCCUCCUGUCUCCACCUCCCAAGAAGCUGAGAUUACAGGUGUGCACCACUACAACCAGUGGCCUGAAGCUACAAAAUUGAUCAAAUCCCACUCAGCUGGACACUCUGGCUCCUACUCUCAAGACGGCAGUCCCCAUUAAAGACAGAACAGAAGCGGUUCUAAACUCAAAUAAUAGGAAUAAUGGGUUUAUUGCCAGAGAAAUCCCCCAGUCCCAUUCAGAAAUGUUUUGGGUCACAGCGGAGGGAGCUGUCCUGGGUGGGCUUCUGUAGCCCUGGUGGGACCCCAGACCUCCCUGCCCCUUCGUGUAGUACGUUUGCCACCAUAUUCAUGUUCUUUCCUCUGGCUCAAAAAUGGUUAGUGAUUCCCACACAAGGGCAUCUCCCAGCUCCUCCCUGUUAAUCUCUCACCUCUGAGGGCUGAUUGCUCCUGCAGACCCAGUAUUUGCCUUCCUGCUCCUUCCCUCUUGCCAGUCCCAACAAGACUUUCAGCUUCCUCCAAGUCCCGCCUUCUCCCCUGUCACCCACUUGCAUCCCACUGUCCAUGCAGGACCGGGCCCUAAGUUUCCCUUACACUCAGAGCACCUCUCAGUUGUGCACUGAAUUCAUGAUACAUCCACAGCUUGAUCACGAGCACUUUGUGCACAGCCAAACAUCAUACCCUUUUGUGGUUUGCAAGCCACGAUUUUCAAAGAAAAAAAGAAGUAUACUUUGAAAACAAAACAGAUCUUUGUGGCACAUGGGGCACGUUUUUUUAAAUUUAUGACUUUUAAUUCACUUGAAUUUCAAAUACUAGAGGAAAAUGUAGGAGGUUUUACUACCUUAUCAAAGGAAACGUUGUUUAAUGAAAGAUUGGGAAACAGUUCUUUAGUGAUGAUCAAAUAGAAGAUAGUUAACAAAUACCCACUGAACAAGUCAUUGAUUUCAGUAAACCCCGAUUUGUUCUUCAGACUUCUAAUGGAGAAAUUUCAGAUUACUUAUUUUCAUGGAGAAAUAGUUAAUGACCUAUUGGUUAUAAAGUGGCCACAAAACUAAUGGUCAACAGUUGAACAAAUUUUUAAAAACUUACAAGACAAUCUUUAAGUAUUCUUAUUACCUACCAUUUCAGAUAUAUAUAUAUAGUGUGUGGUCUAUAUGUAAAUUAUAAAACAUAAUAAAUAAUAAAUCACCAAGUUUAAGAGAUUUCUUUUAUUGAUAGAUUACCCAUAACUGAAGUAUUCUAUUACCCUUUAAAACAAGUAUGCUUUGGGCGGGGGAUGUAGCUCAGCAGCACAAGAACCAGGGGGCAAGUAUGAGGUCAUGAGUUCAAUCCCCAGUACCAAAACCAAUAAAAUAAGUGUGCUUAGUUUGGCUCUAAUUAUAUAUACUUCAGUGAAUUGUUUUCGUUCAUUAGUAUAUAAAUUUAUUUAAAUUCUAUAGUCAGAAUUUUUGCCUGACUUAUUUGAAUGAUCUUGUUUCCAGCAUGCUUAUUUACUCAUCUCUUAAAUUUUUCCUUCUUUAUUUUGAAUGCUCUCACUUCACAGUCCCAGGAGAUAAUCUUUCUACUUCAUAUUUCCUCCACGUUGAACUGAAUAAGCCACUUAUGUGCUGAUGUUUCUAGUCUACUCAAGUCAUUUCGUUCCUUCUUUGUAUCGACUGACACUCCCUCUAGUUCUGUAUAACAAGCUUACUGCAUGUUCCUUCUUCCAAGUCACUGACAUAUAAAAUGAAUAAAAUUGGUCCUAA